AUGGCCACGCCUCUUUGGCAAUUCCAUUCCCAGCGGCGGCGGCUGAGGCUGCCGACGAUCCUACUCAUCGUUGCCGCGGCAACUGACCUCUUCGUCCUGGCUGCUUCUGCUGCUGCAGAACAACAGCAAAUGCCCAUCGCCCGCCCAUAUUGCCGCGACAAGUGCGGCAAUAUCAGCAUCCCCUACCCGUUCGGCAUUGGGCCGGGCUGCUUCAUUGCUCGGCAAUUCGAGGUUUACUGCAACGACUCCACCAGCCCCCCUCGCGUCUUCCUUGUUGUCGCACCACGUGAGACAUACCAGCUAACGGGCGAGGCCGUCAUAUCGGCUCGUGUCCGGUUCCCUUAUGUGUUCGACGAAUUGGCGUUACCGCCGUUGCCGAUCGAGCUGGUUGACAUAUCCGUCGACCGGAGUGAGGUCCGGGCAUAUGGCGCCGUCUCAUCUUACUGCCGCCAAUCCACCACCAAGCAUGUGCUCAAGCUUCAGCUUACCUCUGUGGGGCCUGCCAAGACCAUGUGGCCGCUCAACUUGUCGAAGCGCAACUCUCUCGUUGGCAUCGGCAAGAAUGUCGAAGCUAGGUUGGCAACCCGCAUGUACAUGGACUACCCGAGCUCGGAUCCAUGGCUAGAGUCAACCUGCACUUCAAUCGUCGAAUUUAGCGGCUUCAAGUCACCCACAAACGGGUCGUGCUCGGGGUAUGGCUGCUGUCAGGUCCCCUUUGCGGCUGCAGUAGAUGACACCCCGCCGGUAGAAUUUGCGGUGUCGUUCAAGCCCGAUAACUCCACUUGGGUGGAUUGGGAAGAACACCCGUGCUCCUACGGAAUGGUGGUGGAGAGUUCAUGGUACAACUUCUCUUCGCUGGACCUCUACGGCUAUGAGGUGCUAUCCAAAAAAUUCCCAAGGGGCGUCCCCAUCGUCAUCGAUUUCGCCAUCAUAACCGAGCAGAACGGUUCAUGUCCCGCGGAAGGCCAGCAGCCACCUCUGGGCUACGCGUGCGCCAGCGGCAACAGCUUUUGUACCAACGCAACAGCCUUUACAGACGUUGGCUAUUUUUAUGUCUGCAAGUGCAAGGAGCAUUACGAAGGCAACCCCUACGUCAACAAUGGAUGCCAACACAUCGAUGAGUGCAAGAACCGUGAUUUGUAUCCAUGCUCAAGCGACGGGGUAUGCAAGAACAGGCUUGGAGGCUAUGACUGUCCAUGCAAGCGCGGAAUGAAGGGUGACGGCAAAGCAGGAACCUGCAAAGAUAUAGUCCCGUUAGUCGCUAAAGUGGUCAUGGGUGCAACAGGUUUUAUUCUUGGCAUGGUUAUAUUAUUUCUUAUUAUUCUUCAAAAAGAGAGAACAAAGACAAGAGAGUUUUACAAAAAAAAUGGCGGGCCUAUAUUAGAGAAGGCAAAGAUAAUAAAGCUUCUCAAAAAGGAAGAGCUCAAGCCUAUUUUAAAGAGUGACAAUUUUAUCGGAAAAGGUGGCUUUGGUGAAGUUUACAAGGGUCUUCUUGCUAAUGAACUAGUUGCAGUCAAGAAGCCGAUCAGUGGGAGUGUACUAGAGACUGAACAAUUUACAAACGAAGUCAUCAUCCAGUCUCAAGUCAUACACAAGAAUAUUGUUAGGCUCAUAGGUUGUUGUCUUGAAGUGGACCUUCCAAUGCUAGUGUAUGAGUUUCUCUCCAAAGGCAGUUUGGAAGACAUUCUUCACAGUGACAACAAGGUGCCUGUCAACUUGGAUCUACGUUUAAGAAUUGCUGCAGAAUCAGCAGAUGGUCUAGCUUAUAUGCAUUCAAAAACCACAACUAAAAUCCUGCAUGGUGAUGUUAAACCAGCAAAUAUACUCUUGGAUGACAAUUUUGUGCCGAAGAUCUCAGAUUUUGGCAUAUCGAGGUUGAUUCCGAGAGAUAAACAACAUACCCUAUCAAUCAUUGGUGACAGAACUUAUAUGGAUCCAGUAUAUCUACAAACGGGGCUACUAACCGAAAAAAGUGAUGUCUACAGUUUUGGAGUAGUUAUCUUGGAGCUUAUUAGCAGGGAGAAGGCCACAUAUUCUGACAAUAAUAGCCUCGUACAGAAGUUUCUUGAAGCUCACAAGAAAGAGAGGAAAGCAACUGAGUAUUUUGACAGGGAAAUUGCAGUACCAAGAGAUUUAGGGCUUCUUGAUAGUCUAGCAGAGAUGGCUGUGGAAUGCCUUAGCCUUGAUGUGGAUCAAAGACCAACAAUGACAGAGGUAGCAGAGCGCCUCCUCAAUCUGUUUCGAUCUCGUGAGUUGUAA
rnacentral:rRNA from 1 species